GACGAACGCUGGCGGCGUGCCUAAUACAUGCAAGUCGAGCGAAUCUUUAGGAGCUUGCUCCUGAAGAUUAGCGGCGGACGGGUGAGUAACACGUGGGCAACCUGCCUGUAAGACUGGGAUAACUUCGGGAAACCGGAGCUAAUACCGGAUAAUCCUUUCCUUCACAUGAAGGAAAGCUGAAAGACGGUUUCGGCUGUCACUUACAGAUGGGCCCGCGGCGCAUUAGCUAGUUGGUGAGGUAACGGCUCACCAAGGCGACGAUGCGUAGCCGACCUGAAAGGGCGAUCGGCCACACUGGGACUGAGACACGGCCCAGACUCCUACGGGAGGCAGCAGUAGGGAAUCUUCCGCAAUGGACGAAAGUCUGACGGAGCAACGCCGCGUGAGCGAAGAAGGCCUUCGGGUCGUAAAGCUCUGUUGUCAGGGAAGAACAAGUACCGGAGUAACUGCCGGUACCUCGACGGUACCUGACCAGAAAGCCACGGCUAACUACGUGCCAGCCGCCGCAGUAAUAC
rnacentral:rRNA from 1 species